rnacentral:rRNA from 1 species
CCAGACUCCUACGGGAGGCAGCAGUGGGGAAUAUUGCACAAUGGGGGAAACCCUGAUGCAGCAACGCCGCGUGAGUGAAGAAGUAUUUCGGUAUGUAAAGCUCUAUCAGCAGGGAAGAAAAUGACGGUACCUGAGUAAGAAGCCCCGGCUAACUACGUGCCAGCAGCCGCGGUAAUACGUAGGGGGCAAGCGUUAUCCGGAUUUACUGGGUGUAAAGGGAGCGUAGACGGCGAUACAAGUCUGAAGUGAAAGCCCGGGGCUCAACCCCGGGACUGCUUUGGAAACUGUGUUGCUGGAGUGCAGGAGGGGCAGGCGGAAUUCCUGGUGUAGCGGUGAAAUGCGUAGAUAUCAGGAGGAACACCGGUGGCGAAGGCGGCCUGCUGGACUGCAACUGACGUUGAGGCCCGAAAGCGUGGGGAGCAAACAGGAUUAGAUACCCCGGUAG